rnacentral:rRNA from 1 species
AUGCCUUGGUUACAUGGAUUCGGCGGCGGGUCAUGGCCGGAAAAGAGGAAAUUUGGCAUUUUCGGCGGCGAACCAGAUCAUGCAGGUGAGGCCCUCCUGCCGCAGGUAGCAGAUUCAUUCGACCUGCCUACCAACCCAACCCAAAUGAGUGUCGGCUGUCGCCACUCACACCCUGGGACUGGCCGGGAGCCAAGAGAAGAGAACAUGGGUGAGAUCCUGGCAGGAGAGAUGCACAUAUUUCACCUGCUGCCGGGCUGUCUGGUCUGGCUGGCCCUUUGCUUUUCCCAGGCUAGGAAAUAG